CCUACGGGAGGCAGCAGUGGGGAAUAUUGCACAAUGGGGGAAACCCUGAUGCAGCGACGCCGCGUGAGCGAUGAAGUAUUUCGGUAUGUAAAGCUCUAUCAGCAGGGAAGAAAAUGACGGUACCUGCAAAGGAAGCACCGGCUAACUCCGUGCCAGCAGCCGCGGGAAUACGGAGGGUGCGAGCGUUAAUCGGACUUACUGGGCGUAAAGCGCUCGUAGGCGGUAUGUCAAGUCAUGUGUGAAAUCCCCGGGCUCAACGUGGGAGCUGCCUUUGAAACUGGCAAACUGGAGUGUGUGAGAGGAUAGUGGAAUUCCAGGUGUAGGAGUGAAAUCCGUAGAUAUCUGGAGGAACAUCAGUGGCGAAGGCGAAUAUCUGGAACAUAACUGACGCUGAGGAGCGAAAGCGUGGGUAGCAAACAGGAUUAGAUACCCGGGUAGUC
rnacentral:rRNA from 1 species